GAUCCUGGCUCAGAACGAACGUUGCGGGCAGGCCUAACACAUGCAAGUCGAGCGCACCUUUUCGGGUGAGCGGCGGACGGGUUAGUAACGCGUGGGAAUAUACCCUUUGGUACGGAAUAGCCUUUGGAAACGGAGAGUAAUACCGUAUGAGCCCUUCGGGGGAAAGAUUUAUCGCCAAAGGAUUAGCCCGCGUUAGAUUAGGUAGUUGGUGGGGUAAUGGCCUACCAAGCCUACGAUCUAUAGCUGGUUUUAGAGGAUGAUCAGCAACACUGGGACUGAGACACGGCCCA
rnacentral:rRNA from 1 species